ACCUUAGAGACCAACUAAGUUUGUUCUGAGUAUAAGUUUUCGUGUGCAUGCACACUUCUUCAGAUACCAAAAAAGUGUGCAUGCACACAAAAGCUUAUACCCAGAACAAACUUAGUUGGUCUCUAAGGU